GACGAACGCUGGCGGCGUGCUUAACACAUGCAAGUCGAGCGAUGAAGCACCUUCGGGUGUGAAUUAGCGGCGAACGGGUGAGGAACACGUGAGAAAUCUGCCUUCAACACUGGGAUAACUCCGGGAAACCGGGGCUAAUACCGGAUAUGAAACCUGCGGGCAUCCGCGGGUUUGGAAAGUUUUUCGGUUGAAGAUGAUCUCGCGGCCUAUCAGCUUGUUGGUGAGGUAAUGGCUCACCAAGGCGACGAUCGAUAGCUGGUCUGAGAGGAUGAUCAGCCUGACUGGAACUGAGAUACGGUCCAGACUCCUACGGGAGGCAGCAGUAGGGAAUUUUCCACAAUGGGCGAAAGCCUGAUGGAGCAACGCCGCGUGCAGGAUGAAGGGCCUUCGGGUCGUAAACUGCUUUAUGUGCGAAGAAUAUGACGGUAACACAUGAAUAAGGG
rnacentral:rRNA from 1 species